rnacentral:rRNA from 1 species
UACGAAGGGAGCUAGCGUUGUUCGGAAUCACUGGGCGUAAAGCGCACGUAGGCGGAUGUUUCAGUCAGGGGUGAAAUCCCGGAGCUCAACUUCGGAACUGCCCUUGAUACAGCACGUCUUGAGUCCGGAAGGGGUGGGUGGAAUUCCUAGUGUAGAGGUGAAAUUCGUAGAUAUUCGGAGGAACACCAGUGGCGAAGGCGGCUCACUGGCUCGGUACUGACGCUGAGCUGCGAAAGCGUGGGGAGCAAACAGG